rnacentral:rRNA from 1 species
GUGUGCGAUCAUACCAACAAUAAUGCAUUGGAUCCCAUCAGAACUCUGCAAUUAAUAGUGCUCGAGCGAGAGUAGUGCUAGGAUGGGUGACCUCCUGGGAAGUCCUCAUGUUGCACCCG